GAUGAACGCUGGCGGCGUGCCUAACACAUGCAAGUCGAGCGAAAAGACGAGGCGCUUGCUCCUUCCACGUUAGCGGCGCACGGGUGUGUCACACGUAGAACCCCUCCCUAUCUGUCUGGGAUCACUUCGGGACACCGGCGCAUACCCCGUAUAAUAUUUCGCACCGUGUGGUUCGAUGGUGAAAUAUGGCUUUGCUAUCUCUUAUCGCUGGACUUGCGCCGUAUUAGCUAGUUGGUAAGGUAACGGCUUACCAAGGCAACGAUACGUAGCCGACCUGAGAGGGUGAUCGGCCACACUGGAACUGAGACACGGUCCAGAGGCCUACGGGAGGCAGCAGUAGGGAAUCUGCCGCAAUGGGCGAAAGCCUGACGGAGCAACGCCGCGUGAGAGAUGAAGGUCUUCGGAUCGGAAAACUCGGUUAUGAGGGAAGAACAAACUUGUAAGUAACUGUGCACUGCUUGACGGUACCUAAUCAGAAAGCCACGGCUAACUACGUG
rnacentral:rRNA from 1 species